CCUACGGGGGGCAGCAGUGGGGAAUAUUGCACAAUGGGGGAAACCCUGAUGCAGCCAUGCCGCGUGUGUGAAGAAGGCCUUCGGGUUGUAAAGCUCUUUCACCGGUGAAGAUAAUGACGGUAACCGGAGAAGAAGCCCCGGCUAACUUCGUGCCAGCAGCCGCGGUAAUACGAAGGGGGCUAGCGUUGUUCGGAAUUACUGGGCGUAAAGCGCGCGUAGGCGGAUAGAUAAGUCAGAGGUGAAAUCCCGGGGCUCAACCCCGGAAUUGCCUUUGAUACUGUUUAUCUUGAGUGCAGAAGAGGUAAGUGGAAUUCCGAGUGUAGAGGUGAAAUUCGUAGAUAUUCGGAGGAACACCAGUGGCGAAGGCGGCUUACUGGUCUGCAACUGACGCUGAGGCGCGAAAGCGUGGGGAGCAAACAGGAUUAGAUACCCUUGUAGUC
rnacentral:rRNA from 1 species